rnacentral:rRNA from 1 species
GACGAACGCUGGCGGCGUGCCUAAUACAUGCAAGUCGAACGCAGUGGGGACGGGUGAGUAACACGUUGGUAACCUCCCAUCAGAGGGGAUAACACUUGGAAACAGCUGCUCAACCGAUACUGUUGUAUGGACCCUCGGUGCAUUAGCUAUUUGGUGAGGUAACGGCCAACCAAGGCCACGAUGCAUAGCCGAACUGAUAGGGUAAUCGUCCCCACUGGGACUGAGACACGGCCCAGACUCCUACGGUAGGCAGCAGUAGGUAAUCUGCGGCAAUGGACGAAAGGCUGACCGAGCAACGCCGCGUGAGUGAAGAAGGUUUUCGUAUCGUAAAACUCUGUUGUUAGAUAAGCGGUAUCUAAAGAGAAAGCCACGGCUAACUACGUGCCAGCAGCCGCGGUAAGAG